UACGGGGGGGGCAAGCGUUGUUCGGAAUUACUGGGCGUAAAGGGCUCGUAGGCGGCCAACUAAGUCGGACGUGAAAUCCCCAGGCUCAACCUGGGAACUGCGUCUGAUACUGGAUGGCUUGAAUCCGGGAGAGGGAUGCAGAAUUCCAGGUGUAGCGGUGAAAUGCGUAGAUAUCAGGAGGAACACCGGUGGCGAAGGCGGGUCUCUGGGCCGAUACUGACGCUGGAGGAGCGAAAGCGUGGGG
rnacentral:rRNA from 1 species